GAUGAACGCUGGCGGCAUGCCUAAUACAUGCAAGUCGAACGAGAGGAAGGAAAGCUUGCUUUUCUGAAUCUAGUGGCGAACGGGUGAGUAACACGUAGGUAACCUGCCCAUGUGCCCGGGAUAACUUCUGGAAACGGAUGCUAAAACCGGAUAGGUAGCAGACAAGCAUUUGACUGCUAUUAAAGUGGCUAAGGCCAUGAACAUGGAUGGACCUGCGGCGCAUUAGCUAGUUGGUGAGGUAACGGCCCACCAAGGCGACGAUGCAUAGCCGGCCUGAGAGGGCGGACGGCCACAUUGGGACUGAGACACGGCCCAAGCUCCUACGGGAGGCAGCAGUAGGGAAUUUUCGUCAAUGGGGGGAACCCUGAACGAGCAAUGCCGCGUGAGUGAGGAAGGUCUUCGGAUCGUAAAGCUCUGUUGUAAGAGAAAAACGACAUUCAUAGGGAAUGAUGAGUGAGUGAUGGUAUCUUACCAGAAAGUCACGGCUAACUACGUGCCAGCCGCCGCCGUAAAAC
rnacentral:rRNA from 1 species